GACCAUAGCUCAGUUGGUUAGAGCGCCACGUUGACAUCGUGGAGGUCAGCGGUUCAAAUCCACCCUCCUGGUCG
rnacentral:tRNA from 1 species